rnacentral:rRNA from 1 species
UGGGGAAUUUUGCACAAUGGGAGAAACCCUGAUGCAGCGACGCCGCGUGAUUUAGAAGGCCUUCGGGUUGUAAAAAUCUUUUCUAUGGGAAGAAAAUGACAGUACCAUAGGAAUAAGGACCGGCUAAUUACGUGCCAGCAGCCGCGGUAAUACGUAAGGUCCGAGCGUUGUCCGGAAUCAUUGGGCGUAAAGGGUACGUAGGCGGGUAAGCAAGUUAGAAGUGAAAUCCUAUAGCUCAACUAUAGUAAGCUUUUAAAACUGCUCAUCUUGAGGUAUGGAAGGGAAAGUGGAAUUCCUAGUGUAGCGGUGAAAUGCGCAGAUAUUAGGAGGAAUACCGGUGGCGAAGGCGACUUUCUGGCCAUAACCUGACGCUGAGGUACGAAAGCGUGGGUAGCAAACAGG